UACAGAGGUGGCAAGCGUUGUUCGGAAUUACUGGGCGUAAAGGGCGCGUAGGCGGUCCGAUAAGUCCCGUGUGAAAGCCCUUGGCUUAACUGAGGAAGUGCAUCCGAAACUGGCAGGCUAGAGUACUAAAGAGGGUCGCGGAAUUCCCGGUGUAGAGGUGAAAUUCGUAGAUAUCGGGAGGAACACCGGUGGCGAAGGCGGCGACCUGGGUAGAUACUGACGCUGAUGCGCGAAAGCGUGGGUAGCAAACGGG
rnacentral:rRNA from 1 species